AUUGAACGCUGACGGCAUGCUUUACACAUGCAAGUCGAACGGCAGCGCGGGCUUCGGCCUGGCGGCGAGUGGCGAACGGGUGAGUAAUGCAUCGGAACGUGCCCAGUAGUGGGGGAUAGCCCGGCGAAAGCCGGAUUAAUACCGCAUACGACCUGAGGGUGAAAGCGGGGGACCGAAAGGCCUCGCGCUAUUGGAGCGGCCGAUGUCGGAUUCGCUAGUUGGUGGGGUAAAGGCUUACCAAGGCGACGAUCCGUAGCUGGUCUGAGAAGACGACCAGCCACACUGGGACUGAGACACGGCCCAGACUCCUACGGGAGGCAGCAGUGGGGAAUUUUGGACAAUGGGGGCAACCCUGAUCCAGCCAUGCCGCGUGAGGGAAGAAGGCCUUCGGGUUGUAAAGCGCUUUUGUUCGGGAAGAAAUCCUCUGGGCUAAUACCCCGGGGGGAUGACGGUACCGGAAGAAUAAGCACCGGCUAACUACGUG
rnacentral:rRNA from 1 species